AGAGAGAGAAAGAGUCCGGCUAUAAUACUCUUGUGAGAACAAUCACCUUCGCAUGCAUAAGUCGCUCAUAACUCGCUUUUGAUGAUAGGGCUUCCGAAUUACCGACCUAUACCGUUAAACAUAAUUUAGAGCAUUUGAAACUUCUAGAAAUCAAAUUUUAUAAUUUUUUGAUAUCAUUUACCUUAUGAUCAAAAGAUCUCAAAAUUAAUAACUUUUAAUAGCCGGUAUGAGAUAUUUCUUUGUUUAACAGAGUAAAAAAUCAUAAUUGAUUGAAUUUUUUAUAGAAAUGCUAUUCACUAUCUAGAUAAAGAUCAAUAACUCCGAUCUUAAAUUGAAAGAUCUGAUCAUCCUUUUUUUUGGAUGUCGUUCAAUUUUGACCGUUCAUUUUAUGCUUGCUUGAUGAACUUUAUUAUAAUUUCGAAAAAUUACGAAAUUUAUUUUCUAGAAGUUUCAAAUUCUCUAAAUCAUAUACUUAACGGCAGAGAUCGUCGAUUCGGAAGCUCCAUCAUUGAAAACAAUUUAUGAGUAUAAAGAGCGCUACACUCAUAAGAGUAUAGUAGACCUACUCUCUAUAUAUCAAGGAUUUAAGUGUCCAUCGGCAUGGGCCGUAUCUAUCAUGCCGUAUCGUGCCAAUAAUAUAUUGGCACGAUACAGCCCAGUGCCGAUGGCAUAGCUCAAAACUCUCUCACCUUCCUCCAAAGAAGUGAGGUUCCAAUCUCAUAUCAUGUUGCUCGAACCAUUGAUCCUGUCCGGUCCUAAGCAAUACUUGACGAGGGGCCUGUUUUGACUCGGCUAUUCUUUAAAUUAGUAAGUAUUUUUCUCAAUAAAAGUUCAAAAGAUUUGAUAAAAAUACAUAAUAAACAGUUAGAAUAUUUUGUUGCUAAAGAAAAUAAAUAUUUCAUGCUAUUAUGUGUUGGCACACAUGAAUUUUUUGUGACUGGCACGCACUGGCCCGGCCCGGCAUGCACCAUGCUGUACUGUGCUGGCAAGUUUCCCACGGCAUAUAUAUAUAUAUAUAUGUAUAUAUAUAUAUAUAUAUAUGUAUAUAUAUAUAUAUAUAUAUAUAUAUGUAUAUAUAUAUAUAUAGAACUAGGCUAAUAUACUAUUAAUAGCACCAAGUCAUUGGUGCUAUAUAUAUAUAUAUAGAACUAGGCUAAUAUACUAUUAAUAGCACCAAGUCAUUGGUGCUACCGAGUUUUUGGCCAUUGGAUUAAGAGAUGUGUGGUUAGGAUGAUGUGGGCCCUCUAGGGUUGAGUGAGUGGUUGGUUGAAUAGUAUGAUCUAACGGUUGAAAAUGAUCAAAAGGGUAGAUCUAAUGGCGGAAAACUUGGUAGCACCAAGUGUUUCGUGCUAUUAAUAGCAUAGUAGCCGGAC
rnacentral:lncRNA from 1 species